GCAUAUCUUUCCUUCAAUAAUUGAAUUAAUCACAAAUACAAUUAAAAUGUGGACAAGUGAUUAGUAUUAUACUCAUAUUGACGAUAACCACAUAAUUAUCUUUAAUCUAUUUUAUACACCAUUUUCAUAGAUUUGAACUUUUCUUUUGUUGUCGAUUUACCCUAAUCUACAAAUGGCACAAAAGUUGUUUGGCCAGCGCAAGAUAUACAGUAGAUCAAGGGACAACCGAUAAAUCAAUUCGGGAUGCGUUAAAUGUGUUAUCAAAAUGCAUUUUUGCAUUAGUGUGUGUUUUUUUGGGGGGGGGUUAAAAGAUGAAUUAGCAGCAGCUUGGAUCAAACUGGACGUCUUUUCUCCGACUGAGGAGGAGGCAGCCAUGACUUGCUUUUUUUUUUUUCAGGGGUGGUGCCAUGGUAACAACGGGGGAGGACGGCAAAGUGGAGAGCGGCUGGCGGAGGAAGGAGGCCACCGAGCUGACUAAAAGAGGGCAGGGGAUCUGGCCCUAGGCUCUUAAUUGCUAAGACAAAGAGGAGGAAGUUGGAGCCUUCUAGGUUCCUUCAGGUUUCCACUUCAGGCCCCAAUAGAGUUUGACUGCUGGACUGAGUUCAGAGGGCGUGCUCGUCCUCUUUGCUCUCGGUGGCGUGGCCGUCCACGUCCGGCCACAGAUCCAUGUUCCUGCGCAACGAGACGAUGAUGGGAGCCAGUGAGGUCUUGGCCAGCUGAGACGGGUGGUUGAUGGUGUCGGCGUCCAAGGCCACCAGCUGCAGCGUGCGGGCCAGCUCAAAGAUGCGCUCGAUCUCGCUCUGAACUUCAGCUACGUGGAGAGGAGAACCGGUGGUGCUGACAAGAGCGCAGACAGCUGAGUGCGCCAAGCAGAACAAGUGAGUCAUGAGGUGUGGGCUUCUAAAAUAGAGGUGAGAGAGCGCAAAAGAUGACAUAGAACGUAUGUAAUUACGAUGAGCAAAUUCCAUGACGGCGAAUCAACUGGAUGUGGCAGACUUUUUAACGCCAUCUUCGAUCCAAUGACCACGAUGAUGUAUGAUGAUGUCAGUGUUUCGAGUUCUAUAUAGUAGUACCUGGACUUACAAGUUCCAAGAUCGUAACGCCAUUUACGUCCAUCAUAUUCACUUUCCCCCUUGAAAUGGAUUGAAGUGCCACUAAUGCCUAAAGACCCAUAAUCUUUUAGGACAAGGUUUUAAUAGACAGAUAGCAAUCUAUAAUAAAUAUACAUACACAAAAUUAAUAACACUUCAUCGAGAAUGUAAAUAAUAAUGCUGUACAAAGUCCAAUUCAAAUUGGCGAUCAAGUUGGGAUGUUGUGUGAAAGGUAAUAAAUGAAUACAUAAAAAUAGAUUACACUAAUAUGAAAAUUCUUUACAAAUCUGUAUUCUGUUGAAUACACAACAAAGACAAGGUAUUUAAUAUUUAAACUGAUGAGCUGUAAUUUUUUGUUGUUGUAAAUAACUCAUUUUGAAUUUGAGGGUUCCAAAAAAGUUGAGACAGUGGCAUGUUUAUCUCUGUGUUACAACACCUUUCUUUUUUUCAUAAUGUGUUAAUCAUUUUAAAUGGUGGACAAGUCUGAACUCCUGGCAGGCCAGCCAAGUACUCGCACUCUUUUACUACGAAGCCACGUUGUUGUAACACGUGCAAAAUGUGGGUUGGCAUUAUCUUGCUGAAAUAUGCGACGAUGUCCCUGAAAAAAAUGUUGCUUGGAUGGCAGCAUCUGUUGCUCCACAACCUCUAUGUACCCUUCAGAUGUAAUGGUGCCUUCACAGAUUCCAUGCCAUGGUAAUUUUUCCACAUCACAAAGGAACUUGGUGGCCUUUGUGGGUGUUGUUGAUAUACUCUAUGGCUUUCGCUUUGUAUAGUUUUAACACCCAUUUGUUGAUACAGCAACUUUCAUCAGUUUGAACGUUAAAUAUUUUGGAUUUAUAGUUAAUUCAAUUGAAAAGGAUUUGCAAAUAAUUUCUUUCAUGUCUUAUGGACAUUUUACACAACGUGGCAACUUCAGAGGAAUUGGGGUACGUACAUUCCUGUGUUGAUUAAGGGGGCGUGUCCGAGUAAGUGACAACAGGUGCUUGGAGUUGGUCUGGUCAGCUGCACUGUUAGUUGAGUGUUGGCGUCUCCUCCAUGCUCCUCGAGAAUAUUUUCAUUUUGCCUUUGUGACAUUGACUUUUUAUCUCAUUCAAUGAACAAAUUGCUGAAAGUCGUGGCUGUGGCACAAAUCUUUUCACUUCACUUGAGUGGCGGCCCAUCUAAAGCUCGAGUUUUGGCUUGUGAGACAAAACAAACUUGUAAUUUAAAAUAAAAACAACUCACAAGUUGGGGCACUCGUAAAUCAAGGUAGCACAAUAUUUGGAUUUCUCUUGUCCUGAACAGUCAAUCAUGCCCAUUUGUGAUUGUGUUUGGUAGAAAUCACAACAAAUAAGACAUGACUCUCGUAUUGGUCACGAGAACGUAUACAGUAAACUGGACAAUCUAGCAGUUUAGAGUUAAAGUGCAUAAAUCCGGCGUAGCAGACCGAGUAAAUCUGCACGGACACGGGUUGGACCGGGUCUUUGUAAUUUCAUAGCGGCCCAGGCCACGAUAUGCAAAAAAAAGGCACUUUAUGGGCAUGAACACAGCCGAGUUCAAUCAUGUCCAAUCAAAUUGGCUCCUCUAUACAUGUCUCAGUCUCCACGAUUUCACAUGGAGACGUUUCUGUGUGGAAGACGACGAUGCAUAACCGCAGCAAUCUGUGCAUUGUCACUGCUAAUGGCUGGUGAGCCAACAGACAAUGAGAGCAGCCAUCGUUAUGAAAUACAGUUUGAGCUGGUAGUAAUUACCGGUACUGGUGACUUUUCUGUCCACAGACUUCAUGUACUGUAUCUAUCCCAACCCACCCGCAAUGAUUCAGAGGAUUUUAUAUCUGCUCUUCACAUAUUUAUGAACGGAAUACAUCUUGACCGCCACCGGGAAUUACUACGGAGCUUGUGUCUCGGUCUGCCGUUGCCCUGAGCAAAUUCACCAAAAUCACUUGAGACAAGUGCUCUGGAUAUAUAUACAGACACUCCUCUGCUUACGUUCAUUCGUUUUACGUUUUUUCCGAUUUUACGUUUGAACUGACUAAAAUAAUUUUGUAAAAAAAAAAAAAAAUUGUGAGUGCGGUCUCCAUAGUACGAGACGUUCAAACGAUCUUACGUUUGACAGCGCGUCCAUUGUUUACAUUGCGCAAACGACAGACUGAAUUUGCCUUGCCUCUUCCCAGUCCAUCGCGCGUUACCCUUGUGUUAAGACGUGUCUGUGAUCUCUGUGUUUACAUAUAGAUUGCUUUGCGUAUUUGUCGCCCGAAGCAAAUAAGGUUGGUCAAAAGCGAAAGUCUACAAGUGAUAGUGGUAAUCAAAAGGAACUGCAAGACAUCUGAUUUGAAACGAAGGUGGCUUAAAUUAUCAGGAAAAUUUUUGCUGGUGGAAAAACAUGUGAACGUUGCACGUUUCUUCCAAAUACCUCCGUCCACCGUCAAUAGCAUUCAUAAGCAGCAAGAUCGCAUAUUAGUGCAUGAACGGUCACACAUUACUGGAACGUACAGUAACGACUUCAUUUAGUUCAUUUUCACAUUACGUUCGGCCGUUCGGAACGUAACUAAAACGGAAGUUGAGGAGCGUCUGUACAUGGUCUGAGCAGGUGUGUAUUAAGGCUGAUUUCCCACCACGACACUGUCACAGUGCUGGGCACACGUUAACGGACCCGCCCUGGUUCCGCCGGCACUGCCCAGCUGCACAAAAUUCAGAAUAUGUAUUUUUUUGCACUGCACUGCACCUGGAGUCAGAGCUUCUAGCAUCACUCAGUAGGUGAAGCUGUUGAAUGGCAUACAUCGAUACACCAAUUGUCUUUUUUUGUGCAUGUGUGAUUGUUUGAAAGAUUUUCAUCUUAUUAACACUAUAAAACUAGUUUGUUUAAAUGGUCCUUUUAUAUUAUAUAAUGUAUUUAUAUUGAUAUUUUACACCACGGUACCAUUUUUCUUCAUUAAAAACAUGUAACCCCGCCCCCCUGGAACGGAUUAGUUGCACUUCAUUUCAUUUCAACGAGGAAAAUUGAGUUAAAUUGGGUUAGAUUUUAUUCUACUGGAAGAGUUGAGGAUUUGGUUACUGGAUGCUUCAGGGACGCAGAAGGAGGCAAAAACUAAAUGUGUGUCUGUUUUUGUUAUAUGUCCUCUGCUACCUUUCAUUACGGUCCUCAUCUCUUUUAGUGCAAUUCCCUACUAAACGACAAACACCACAGUGUUGAUUCUGGCUCAGCCACCUGUCGCAUUGUGCCGCUCAGCAGACUCGCGUGGAGACACUCCCUGUUGCCGGGACGACAGCGCCGUCGCUAACUCCCGGUGUUCCUCCUCGCAUACACGCAGGCGCGCCAUCCCCAUUUCCUGCUGCAUCUCGCCGAAUGUAAUGAGGACGGCACCAGUCGCCCCCACUGACCAGUUCUGACUCAUCCUCUGGGAGCAUCCCCGCGGCAAGGGAAGUUCAAAAGAGAUUCUAAUGGCUGGCCUUGGAAGGGGGAGGAGGGGUCGAACUGUACCAAAAUAAAAGGCACGGGGAUGACGCCUGAAAUGAAUGACAAAUAUUUGAGUCACACAUCUUGUUAAAAAAAAAAAAAAAUAAGGGAAUGAGGUGGAUGGCGAUCCAUUUAUUUUCUACAGCGCUUCUCAUCAUUAAAGUCAACUGCCGCUGAUCCAAGCUGACUUUGGGCAGGUACACCCUGGAUUUGCCAUUAGCCAAUGGCAAGGCACAUGGAGACAACGGACUCCCUUUAAUAAACCUAACAUGCAUGUUUUUGGAAUGUGGCAGGAAGCCACAGUACCCAGAGAGAGGAGGCCGAUACCUGAAGGACAAAACAAAGCAAAAGUCUCCAUGGACUCAACCAAUCAGACGUUCAAGCCUUUUUAAAUCUUCUUCCUCUCUCCCCCUUUCGCCUUCACUUCCUCAUGUCACCGGGGUUGUGUCUCUAAUAUAGCCGCUUGCUUCACUUCACAUACAGAUCCCUGUUCAAAAUAGCUGCGAGUCACGUGACGGCUCAGGUCCCUCCCCAUUGGCUGCUUAAGACCCCUGCGGUGUCAUAGUAACCGCCUCAGCCACAUCCAUGUGGAGGAGGAGAGGGGAAACUCGAGGUUGACGGUGGAUGAAUUUGAAUAUGUUUGAAAUAAUCAAUCACGCUAAAAAUGGUUCCAUGUCUUUGAAACUCAAGGAGAAGGUUGAAACUGGGAGGUGGUCUGUCAGAGGGGUCCGCAUGCGUUGUCAUGCAUUCGCACCUCAGCGUUGAUACUGAAUAACUCAGUGGGGGCAGAGAGCUAGGCGGGCUAAGCAAAGAGGACACGUAACAAAUGGACAAAGAGCUUUGGCUAAUGAGGGUCAAGAAGCAUCGUCAAUGAAGAAAAUUGAGUUCACACUCCCUACGGCCGUGUGCUCUGGAACAAGUGAAAGGAACGGGCAGAACAGCAACCUGGAAGGCAGUUUAGAAAGUUGGAUUGAAGAACUACAGGAGGCCGUGCCAAGGAAUCUCCCAAAUCUCCUUCUAUAGAUCCCUACCUCUCUAAAUCUUUGCUUCCUCCUUGUACAUAAUACUUUACAGAGUUUAACGUACCAGACAGUCUCCCCACUCGGGAUAUAACCCCUAGUGAAUGGACCACUUAGGAUCUGAACAAACUCUACAGACGGUACAUAUUUGGUCCAAGUUUUCAUAUCUCAAGUCAGUCAGUCCUGGUCUGAAGCAAUUCCGAAGGCUUGCGGUCCUGGUCAAAAGUCUUUAAUCAAAGUCUCGAGGCUUUUUAGAGACUGUGUUGAAAGAGAUUCUCCAAUCCAAGUAUAAGUUAGCAGUGAUUUACGCCAUACUGUAUCUAAAUGCAUGCGAUCAAUGUCUGAAGCAGUCACUUAGUCCAAGUCUGGAGGUUUCAGGUCCAAAACUCUUAUCAAAUCAAGUGAGAAUUGAUUUUGUUCUCCUUUAAUUUUGUUGUCUGGAGAGGAUCGUCCAAUAGAAGUUGAUGCAACCGUUAAAGCAAGUGACGUAUAGUGUCAACAGAAGACUUCCUCUCCAUACGGCUAAUCACCUUAGCAUCUCGGCGCUAACACUCACACUGGGUAAAUUGCUGGCAGAUAGUUCAAAAGGAUAAAAUACUGAACCAAAAAAACAAAAAAUCCAACGUAGUAUAUGUCUCAGAAUGGGUAGAAGUGGGUGGAAGGACAACAUUGGGGUGUCUGGAUGCCACAUGGUGGGGGCAGAAGGUAACUGAUGUACAAAAAAAUGAUCAACUUUGAGGCACAGGGAGAGAGGCUGAAAGCGGCCAUCUUUAGCGCUGUCACACCGGCGCCAUGGCAACAAAAUCUGUGUGUGUGGACUUCACUGGAUAUGUGAGUCGUGCAUUCGAGUUUGUUUCCUGUGGUUUUUAUCAUCAAAAUGCUAAAAAUACGAAAACAUAAUUUCCGUGGCCACUUCAGUAUGUACAACUUUACCCCAAAAUAUUUACAAGAGCUGUAUAAAAGAAUGGUGCGUACACCAAACUGUAAGCGCAAUGGUAAAAAUAUUAUUAAAUGAAUAUAUCUCUGACAGUGUUAUAAAAAACUGAGCAUUACCUCUGUAAAAGCAGAAAUUUAGAUACAACUGCAGUAUCUCAGACUAACUCUUACAGAGACAAAAAGCCAGGCUGAAAAGUACAAGCAAUAUAAAAAGGGAUGAUCACUAAGGCAACAAGAAUCUAGAAACUAUGAAUAGUAAAACCGUAACUUGGGGGGGGACCUUGAGUCAUGUUUUAAAGCUGUGAUAACAUAAUCAUUUCAAGAAAGAUGACUGAUACAAAGUCAGAAGAUUACAGGUGAAAAUAACUGUUCCAAAACCUUGACUUGGACCGUGAGCAAACGACUUAGCAUGGAAAGGCA